rnacentral:rRNA from 1 species
AUUGAACGCUGGCGGCAGGCCUAACACAUGCAAGUCGAACGAGUGGCGGACGGGUGAGAAAUGUAUGGGAAACUGCCCGAUGGAGGGGGAUAACUACUGGAAACGGUAGCUAAUACCGCAUACCAUCGGAAGUGCCCAGAUGGGAUUAGCUAGUAGGUGGGGUAACGUAUCACCUAGGCGACGAUCCCUAGAUGGUCUGAGAGGAUGACCAGGCACUCUGGAACGGGGACGCUGUCCAGCAUCCUAAGUGAGGCAGCAGCUGGGAAUCGUCCGCAAUGGGCGCAAGCCUGAUGCAGCCAUUCCGCGUGUAUGAAGAGGGCCUUCGGGUUGUAAAGUACUUUCCGCGAGGAGGCGUUACUCGCCGAAGAAGCACCGGCUAACUCCGUGCCAGCAGCCGCGGUAAUUC